rnacentral:misc_RNA from 1 species
CUCUCCAGCAAAUUUUUAUUUUUUAUUUUCCUUUUCUGUCAAAAACACCUCCUUUCGACACCUCUCGCUUUGUUCCGUUUGUCUCUUUCAAAUGAACCCGCAAAAUCCACCCACCCUUGCACAUGCUGUUCUGCUUCCUUUCUCUUUGCCUCUAUGAUUUUUCUCCCAACGCCUGUCCCUUUCCUAUUCUAAUUUCACAUUUUCUCCUCUUGUUUUAGCCUUUAUUAUCUUCAAUCUCAACUGGGUUUUCUUCUAUUUUGUGCUGAUUUCUAUUCCAAUUUCUAGGGUUUUCUGUUUUUCUCUUAACUUCU